UAAGUGGAAAAAGAGUGUGCACCUAACCCACCUCAAAUCAUAUCAGUCACAUUCACCUUACCCUCCCCCCCUCUAGUAAAAAUAAAAAUGAGAUAUAAUCUGAGUAGAAUAUUAUCUGUGAUGAAAACUGUCCUGCUCUCAACCAAUUCUACACUGCUGUAUCCUCUGUGGAUAUCGUAUUGCUUUUUGUAUAAUGACUGCCUGUGCUUUUGCUCACUAAAAUUGUUCUGCUGCUGGACAAUUUUACAGUGCUAUAUCAUCUGCAGUAUCUCAACUCUUGCAGUAAAACCUCUACUCUUGUCUCAAUUACCUUUGGGUCCAGUCUUUCAUAUUAAAACGUGUCCUGCUACUGGCCAAUUUUACACUGUUGAAUCAUCUACUUCUUAAUUAUUGUAGUAAAACACUUGCCUAUACUUUGUAUCUCUACUACAUUUUGUCCUAUUUUCCCUCAUUAAAAGGUCAAUUUUACACUGAAAUGUGCAGUUUAGUUUACAAUCCAGAAAACUGUCUGUGUGACAGGAUAACUGUACUCCCAUUCAUAAAUGUUUCACAGGACCGCACACCAAUAUAUUGAAUCACAAAACAAAUGAUCGCAAACUGGGUUCAGCUGGCUCUCCACCCAACAGGAAAGCCCCUCUAACGUGUUUCUCUCAUUUAGGGCUUAAUCAGAGAGGCAUGUCUGAUUAAGUUCUACCUGGGUGAAUCAUGUUCUUGAUGGGUGGAAAGCCAACUAAAGCUAGUUUGUGAUCAUUUGUUUCAUGAUCCACUAUAUUGAUGUACGGCCCUGGGAAACGUUUGUUGCUAUAUGAACGGGCUUGACAUUCUCUUAUCAGUGACCCAGCACCCAGCAGCGAUGUUUGAACUGGACAGUAUAUCUGACAGGAGCAUAUAAACGGUGGUGCUUUUAAUUUGGUUUAUGUACUGCCAUGCCUGUCUUUAGUAAAUCAACCCCAUAGUCUCUACCCCCAUCUCUCACACUAACUGUAAUCUUCUUAGGUUGGGGCAGUUUCAGAGUCAGUAGCUUUGCCAAAGGAUUCAAAAGAGAGAGUCUCACUCUAUCUGUAAUGAAGAAUUUAUCAGUGAUAGUGGGAUCCUCAUGUAAUGGCCAAGGAAGAUGGGUAGAGCUGGGAACUUACACACAGAUAUCUCUCGAAGAGUCCCCAAGAGAUCUAUAUGGUGGAUUGACGAUUUGUCACAUUUGCCUAAAUAUUAGAAAUCUAAACUGACAAUAAACUCUGAGCUAUAAUAUUUUAUAACCAUUAAAUAAAUAUUGAGGUUUCAAUGAAAUAUGUUGUACCAAUCUAGACCCAAUUAGAGCCCACUGGAAAAGUUUAAGUUAAUUAUUGCUGGAUACAGAAGAUUAAACUAUCCAUUAUGGUGGAAAUAGUAACAGCCACAGGAGAUAUACAAUGUUGUAAUUAUGAUAGUAGGAUAUAUAGAAACAGACGGUAGAUUCUGUAUUGUUCAAGUUGAUCAUAUGAAAACAUAAUGCACAUCUUUCUUAUACUAGUUGUGCUGCUGGUGGCAGUGUUCCAACAACGGAUUUGGAAAUGGAAAGUCGACUGAGUGCAAACCAGCCCGUGCUGCAGAUAUAAUCAACUCAGUUCUAUCAAUAAAGCUAAACUUAGAAGAAAGUUACAAUGACACUACGAGAUCAACAAUUAUUUUCUGUACCCGCUGAAAAUGUUCUUAGAAAAAAAAAGGAAACCAAUGCAACCAGCACCACUAGGAA